AGCUUUGCGCAGUGGCAGUAUCGUAGCCUAUGAGGUUUAUCUGAGGCGCGAUUAUUGCUAGUUGAAAACUUUACCCAAUACCCCGCCUUGAUGACUUGAAAUAUAGUCAGCAUUGGCAAUUUUUGACAGCCUACAAAUAGG
ensembl:snRNA U4 U4 spliceosomal RNA